rnacentral:rRNA from 1 species
AGUAAAGCGGCGUACGGGUGAGUAACACGUGGGUAAUCUACCUCUUAGUGGGGAAUAACCCUGGGAAACCGGGGCUAAUACCGCAUAAGCCUGAGAAGGGAAAGCAGCAAUGCGCUGAGAGAGGAGCCCGCGGCCGAUUAGCUAGUUGGUGAGGUAAUGGCUCACCAAGGCGACGAUCGGUAGCCGGCCUGAGAGGGCACACGGCCACACUGGCACUGAAACACGGGCCAG